rnacentral:rRNA from 1 species
ACAGGCUUAACACAUGCAAGUCGAGGGGCAGCAUGGUCUUAGCUUGCUAAGGCCGAUGGCGACCGGCGCACGGGUGAGUAACACGUAUCCAACCUGCCGUCUACUCUUGGACAGCCUUCUGAAAGGAAGAUUAAUACAAGAUGGCAUCAUGAGUCCGCAUGUUCACAUGAUUAAAGGUAUUCCGGUAGACGAUGGGGAUGCGUUCCAUUAGAUAGUAGGCGGGGUAACGGCCCACCUAGUCUUCGAUGGAUAGGGGUUCUGAGAGGAAGGUCCCCCACAUCGGAACUGAGACACGGUCUAAACUCCUACGGGAGGCAGCAGUGAGGAAUAUUGGUCAAUGGGCGAGAGCCUGAACCAGCCAAGUAGCGUGAAGGAUGACUGCCCUAUGGGUUGUAAACUUCUUUUAUAAAGGAAUAAAGUCGGGUAUGGAUACCCGUUUGCAUGUACUUUAUGAAUAAGGAUCGGCUAACUCCGUGCCAGCAGCCGCGGUAAUACGGAGGAUCCGAGCGUUAUCCGGAUUUAUUGGGUUUAAAGGGAGCGUAGAUGGAUGUUUAAGUCAGUUGUGAAAGUUUGCGGCUCAACCGUAAAAUUGCAGUUGAUACUGGAUAUCUUGAGUGCAGUUGAGGCAGGCGGAAUUCGUGGUGUAGCGGUGAAAUGCUUAGAUAUCACGAAGAACUCCGAUUGCGAAGGCAGCCUGCUAAGCUGCAACUGACAUUGAGGCUCGAAAGUGUGGGUAUCAAACAGGAUUAGAUACCCUGGUAGUCCACACGGUAAACGAUGAAUACUCGCUGUUUGCGAUAUACGGCAAGCGGCCAAGCGAAAGCGUUAAGUAUUCCACCUGGGGAGUACGCCGGCAACGGUGAAACUCAAAGGAAUUGACGGGGGCCCGCACAAGCGGAGGAACAUGUGGUUUAAUUCGAUGAUACGCGAGGAACCUUACCCGGGCUUAAAUUGCAGAUGAAUUACGGUGAAAGCCGUAAGCCGCAAGGCAUCUGUGAAGGUGCUGCAUGGUUGUCGUCAGCUCGUGCCGUGAGGUGUCGGCUUAAGUGCCAUAACGAGCGCAACCCUUGUUGUCAGUUACUAACAGGUUCCGCUGAGGACUCUGACAAGACUGCCAUCGUAAGAUGUGAGGAAGGUGGGGAUGACGUCAAAUCAGCACGGCCCUUACGUCCGGGGCUACACACGUGUUACAAUGGGGGGUACAGAGGGCCGCUACCACGCGAGUGGAUGCCAAUCCCCAAAACCUCUCUCAGUUCGGACUGGAGUCUGCAACCCGACUCCACGAAGCUGGAUUCGCUAGUAAUCGCGUAUCAGCCACGGCGCGGUGAAUACGUUCCCGGGCCUUGUACACACCGCCCGUCAAGCCAUGGGAGCCGGGGGUACCUGAAGUGCGUAACCGCGAGGAGCGCCCUAGGGUAAAACUGGUGACUGGGGCUAAAUC